AGGUCCCAAAGUGUACGUUAAGUGGAAAAGGAUGUGGGAUUUCGAAGACAACCAGGAUGUUGGCUCAGAAGCAGCCAUACAUUCAAAGAGUGCGUAAUAGCUCACUGGUCGAGAGGUCCUGCGCCGAAAAUGUCCGGGGCUGAAACGCGCCACCGAAACUAAGGAACCGAAAGGUUGGUAGAGGAGCAUUGCAUGCGGGAAGAAGCAGUACCGUAAGGAGCUGUGGACUGCAUGGAAGAGAGAAUGCCGGAAUGAGUAGCGAGAAUAAGGUGAGAAUCCUUAUGGCCGAAUAUCCAAGGUUUCCAGAGUAAAGCUGAUCUGCUCUGGGUAAGUCGGGGCCUAAGGCGAGGUCGAAAGACGUAGUCGAUGGAUAACAGGUUGAAAUUCCUGUACUAUCCUGUAACAGAACUGUGGGGACACAGGCAGAGAGCGUGAGCCGGGAAUGGAAAGACCGGUACAAGCGAGGUAGGAGAAGAGUUGGCAAAUCCGCUCUUUAAUCUGAAGACGUGAUGUGGACUGAAAAUAAGUAGGGAAGCACGUGAGCUGACUGUCAAGAAAAGCCGCUAUUGUUUGCAGGAUACCCGUACCGUAAACCGACACAGGUGGAUGAGGAGAGAAUCCUAAGGCCGACGGAAGAAGCAUUGUUAAGGAACUCGGCAAAAUGACCCCGUAACUUCGGGAGAAGGGGUGCUCCAGAGAUGGGGCCGCAGAGAACUGGCCCAAGCAACUGUUUAGCAAAAACACAGGUCUAUGCAAAACCGAAAGGUGAGGUAUAUGGGCUGACGCCUGCCCGGUGCUGGAAGGUUAAGAGGAGAGGUUAGCGCAAGCGAAGCUUUGAAUUUAAGCCCCAGUAAACGGCGGCCGUAACUAUAACGGUCCUAAGGUAGCGAAAUUCCUUGUCGGGUAAGUUCCGACCCGCACGAAAGGCGUAAUGAUUUGGGCACUGUCUCAACAAUGCACCCGGUGAAAUUGAAAUACCAGUGAAGAUGCUGGUUACCUGCGCCAGGACGGAAAGACCCCAUGGAGCUUUACUCCAGCUUGAUACUGGGAUUCGGUAUUGCAUGUACAGGAUAGGUGGGAGGCUAGGAAAUGGUAACGCCAGUUGCCAUGGAGCCAUUGUUGGGAUACCACCCUUGCAGUACUGGGUUUCUAACCAGCAGCCGUGAUCCGGCUGGGGGACAAUGUCAGGUGGGGAGUUUGACUGGGGCGGUCGCCUCCGAAAGGGUAUCGGAGGCGCUCAAAGGUUCCCUCAGAAUGGUUGGAAACCAUUCGAAGAGUGCAAAGGCAGAAGGGAGCUUGACUGCGACACCGACGGGUGGAGCAGGUACGAAAGUAGGACUUAGUGAUCCGGUGGUAUAAAGUGGGAUUGCCAUCGCUCAACGGAUAAAAGCUACCCUGGGGAUAACAGGCUUAUCACUCCCAAGAGUUCACAUCGACGGAGUGGUUUGGCACCUCGAUGUCGGCUCAUCGCAUCCUGGGGCUGUAGUAGGUCCCAAGGGUUGGGCUGUUCGCCCAUUAAAGCGGUACGCGAGCUGGGUUCAGAACGUCGUGAGACAGUUCGGUCCCUAUCCGGCGUGGGCGUAGGAUAUUUGAGAGGAGCUGUCCUUAGUACGAGAGGACCGGGAUGGACUGGCCGCUGGUGUAUCUGUUGUCUUACCAAAGGCAUAGCAGAGUAGCCAAGUCGGGAAGGGAUAAACGCUGAAGGCAUCUAAGCGUGAAGCCCCCCUCAAGAUGAGAUAUCCCAUAGAGUUAAUCUAGUAAGACCCCUUGA
rnacentral:rRNA from 1 species